AGCUUCGUAGUUUAAAAAACACUAUAUUUUCACGAUAGAAAAGCAUCUAAUCAGGGCAAUGCCGGAGCUC
rnacentral:tRNA from 1 species